rnacentral:lncRNA from 1 species
AUGAGAUAUUCUAUGGAAAAUUUCAUGGUUUGAGUAGUGAAUCAAAAUUUCCAACUUCAGUUGAGGAAAUUCAGUUUUAAUAUGAUAAUAUCAAUUUUUCUAUGAAUUAUUGGCCUUGCCAUGUGGUUUUUUUUCAGCUUUUAUAUGUUUUACUAGCUUUAUUAUAGAAAUUCCAGCUUGUAGAGAUGAAUUGUUGCUUGUCGGCCAGCCUUGACAUGGUGAGAUAUGAGCUGGAUAAUUUGUCUAUUUUGGGUGGUUUAAUGGUCUGAAAUAAGUAGCUCUUAUAGCCUAUAAUUUGUGGUCUUGAUUUGGAUGGAUUUGCUAUGAAGUUGUGUGUUGAAUUUGGAGGAAAAGUUGAGGAUAAAACAGGGGAGAUGCUGUCCGAAGUUUGGGACAGCUUGUUUCCUUUAAUUGUGGGCUGAUUUUGUGAUAAACUAGUUUAAGAUGCUUGGAAACCUUUAAUCUUUACUUAUGUGUUAAAUUUUGGUUGAAAUGGAAAGGUUUUCAUUGGUAAUUUCCUCCAAUUCGCUGGCUGAAAUUGUACUUGUUGGCCG